AUGAUAAAAAUUAAAAUAAUAAUGACCACUGAAGUAACAACAUACUGUAUCUACCAGACAUGUAUAAAUUCUUUCAUCACCAAAUUAGGGAUUAUAUAUUCUUUUCCAACACUCACAGGAUGUUUAUGUAGGACAUAACACAGGUCAUGAAAAAAUAUUAAAAAAUCAGGAUUGUAUCUGAUCUUGUAAUCACACUGUAUUUCCCUUUCUCCUUUUACAUUCUAACUUCGAGCUAGUUAUAUAUUUAAAAUUGUAAAAAAAAAUACAUCUUCCUCUUCUCUUUACCUUCUAAUUAACAAAAGCUACUUGUCCAUCAUGUGGCUAUAGGGAGGUGGCCGAAUAGCAGACCCCAGGUAAGAGAGGAAUUUACUACCGACCUUGGAGUCCACCAAAUGUCAUAUCCCAGUAACCUGUUUGACCUCUUUCCCCAGGCCUCCCCUCCUUUUUUCCUGUAAAAGACCCUCUUGUUAACUUGCAGGGAGAGGAGGAGAGGGCAUUUGGGACUACAGAGUCAGCCUUCUCCAUGGGUGGCCACUCAUGUAACUGUCUUGUCUCACUGCAUUCACUCUCAUCUCUAGGGGAUUCAUUGUCCAUCUUGAGCAGCCUGGACCUAAUCUUGUUCCUGUAAGAAUUACACCUUCUCAGACCACAGUGAUAUUAAAUUAGAAGGAAAUGAUGCUCAAAAAAUAGCAUAUAACUAAAAAAAUCACCAUGUCUUGGAACUUUAAAAAUGUUUUAAAUUUAUUUGACAGAAAGGGAAAGCAAGAGUAAGCCCUUCCACCUGUGUGUUCACUUUCCGAAUGUCCACAAUGACCAGGGCUGGGCCAGGUUGAAACCAGGAGUUGGAAACCCAAUUCAUGUCUCCCAUGUGAGAAUCAGGAAUUCAAAUACUUAAGUCAUCACUUCCUGCCUCCCAAGGGGCCCAUUAACAGGAAGCUGGAAUGAGGAGCGGGAACUGGACUUGAUCGUAGACACUCCACUACACAAAAGAAGUUUACAACUUUAAAUGCUUAAAAAUGCUGCUUAUAAAAAGACAAAGAUUGCAAAUUAGCAUGGCAGGCAGCCAGUGUAAGAAUUAUAGGGUGAAAAAAGAAUGCCUAGAGUCAUGUGAUCUUGGGGAGACACUGUAACCUCCACC
rnacentral:lncRNA from 1 species